AGUGAACGCUGGCGGUAGGCCUAACACAUGCAAGUCGAACGGCAGCACAGUAAGAGCUUGCUCUUACGGGUGGCGAGUGGCGGACGGGUGAGGAAUACAUCGGAAUCUACUUUUUCGUGGGGGAUAACGUAGGGAAACUUACGCUAAUACCGCAUACGACCUACGGGUGAAAGCAGGGGAUCUUCGGACCUUGCGCGAUUGAAUGAGCCGAUGUCGGAUUAGCUAGUUGGCGGGGUAAAGGCCCACCAAGGCGACGAUCCUUAGCUGGUCUGAGAGGAUGAUCAGCCACACUGGAACUGAGACACGGUCCAGACUCCUACGGGAGGCAGCAGUGGGGAAUAUUGGACAAUGGGCGCAAGCCUGAUCCAGCCAUACCGCGUGGGUGAAGAAGGCCUUCGGGUUGUAAAGCCCUUUUGUUGGGAAAGAAAAGCAGCAGGUUAAUACCCCGCUGUUCUGACGUUACCCAAAGAAUAAGCACCGGCUAACUUCGUG
rnacentral:rRNA from 1 species